ensembl:snoRNA
GCCCUGUGGUUACUGGAUGCCAUUGUAUAGGUAAAGCUCUCCAGUGGAAGUAAAGGGGCGAGAGCAGUCCUGUGAUUUAUGCUUGGGGACUGUUUCAGCAGCCACUAUAGCCCAGUCACUGAGACAUGA